rnacentral:tRNA from 1 species
UCCCUGGGAGUCCAGUGGUUAGAACUUAGCUCUUUCACUGCCAUGGCCCGGGUUCAAUCCCUGGUCAGGGAG